GCGGCGUGCCUAAUACAUGCAAGUCGAGCGGACCGACGGGAGCUUGCUCCCUUAGGUCAGCGGCGGACGGGUGAGUAACACGUGGGUAACCUGCCUGUAAGACUGGGAUAACUCCGGGAAACCGGGGCUAAUACCGGAUGCUUGAUUGAGCCGCAUGGUUCAAUUAUAAAAGGUGGCUUUCAGCUACCACUUACAGAUGGACCCGCGGCGCAUUAGCUAGUUGGUGAGGUAACGGCUCACCAAGGCGACGAUGCGUAGCCGACCUGAGAGGGUGAUCGGCCACACUGGGACUGAGACACGGCCCAGACUCCUACGGGAGGCAGCAGUAGGGAAUCUUCCGCAAUGGACGAAAGUCUGACGGAGCAACGCCGCGUGAGUGAUGAAGGUUUUCGGAUCGUAAAACUCUGUUGUUAGGGAAGAACAAGUACCGUUCGAAUAGGGCGGCACCUUGACGGUACCUAACCAGAAAGCCACGGCUAACUACGUGCCAGCAGCCGCGGUAAUACGUAGGUGGCAAGCGUUGUCCGGAAUUAUUGGGCGUAAAGCGCGCGCAGGCGGUUUCUUAAGUCUGAUGUGAAAGCCCCCGGCUCAACCGGGGAGGGUCAUUGGAAACUGGGGAACUUGAGUGCAGAAGAGGAGAGUGGAAUUCCACGUGUAGCGGUGAAAUGCGUAGAGAUGUGGAGGAACACCAGUGGCGAAGGCGACUCUCUGG
rnacentral:rRNA from 1 species